rnacentral:rRNA from 1 species
ACUCAAAGGAAUAGACGGGGACCCGCACAAGCGGUGGAACAUGUGGUUUAAUUCGAUGCUACGCGAAGAACCUCACCAGGACUUGACAUACAGGAAGUAGUGAACUGAAAGGGGAACGACCCGUAAAGUCGGGAGCUUGUACAGGUGCUGCAUGGCUGUCGUCAGCUCGUGUCGUGAGAUGUUGGGUUAAGUCCCGCAACGAGCGCAACCAUUACCCCAUGUUGCUAAUAUAUUUAGUCCUCACGGAUUAGGUGUAUGCACUCUUGGGGGACUGCCUGGGAUAACCAGGAGGAAGGUGGAGAUGACGUCAAGUCAGUACGGCCUUUAUGUCCUGGGCUACACACGUGUUACAAUGGCUGGUACAAAGGGUUGCCAACCCGCGAGGGGGAGCUAAUCUCAAAAAACCAGCCUCAGUUCGGAUUGGAGUCUGCAAUUCGACUCCAUGAAGCCGGAAUCGCUAGUAAUGGAAGAUCAGCUCGCUUCCGUGAAUACGUUCCCGGGUCUUGUACACACCGCCCGU